CAACCACCCCUCCUAGACACCACUGCCGGUGCAGCCCACUGCUCCGAGAACCUUCAAAUACGCGCGUGUGGACUGGCGGACUUCACCAGGAACAGCUGCUCGUGUUUCCAGCGGCUCCGAUUGCUUUCUACUCGCGAAAUGCUCGUCGACAUUCCGGCGAGAGUACUCGACGGUUCUCCACCUGACAAGACAGCGAUGUGUGCCGGGGAUGUAUAACCAACAGGACUUGAUGUGGAGUGCAUCAACAGACGACAGAAGAGGGGAAGGUGCGAUGUGUGACCUGGUAUGCAGAAUGCAAAUCCGUGACAACGGCAGUG